rnacentral:rRNA from 1 species
AUGACAGUACCUGGUAAAGAAACCCCGGCUAACUCCGUGCCAGCAGCCGCGGUAAUACGGAGGGGGUUAGCGUUGUUCGGAAUUACUGGGCGUAAAGCGUACGUAGGCGGAUUGGAAAGUUGGGGGUGAAAUCCCAGGGCUCAACCCUGGAACUGCCUCCAAAACUAUCAGUCUAGAGUUCGAGAGAGGUGAGUGGAAUUCCAAGUGUAGAGGUGAAAUUCGUAGAUAUUUGGAGGAACACCAGUGGCGAAGGCGGCUCACUGGCUCGAUACUGACGCUGAGGUACGAAAGUGUGGGGAGCAAACAGGAUUAGAUACCCUGGUAGUCCACACCGUAAACGAUGAAUGCCAGUCGUCGGGC